CAAGAUCAAAUCCCAGUUGUAUGGAACGUACGUUUAUGGCUAUAGCUAUAGGUUUAGCAUUUCUGGGGCUGUUGUUAGUUAUAGUUAUCAUCGUUUUGUGUUGGCGAUGGAAACAAUGUUGCUUUGCUCAAGGUAAUAGACGCAGUGCAUUAAGUUCCAAUGAAAAUUCAGGAGCAAACGGAGGGGAAACUGCAUAUAUGAUGAAUUAAGAAACUUGCAUUUACUUAAUUGGACACAAUCCUAAUGUUCGAAACACGUAUGAUGCGUGUAUCUGGAUAAAAGGAAGUUUAGGAUUGUAUCGCACUGUUGUUUCUUAAUAGACGUGAAGAUUUAUUCAUCUUAUAAAAGUUAUCUAAAAUGAAAUAAUAAUAUAAGUACAGUUUUGGAUAAAUGAUGAUGAAAUAGUCGACAAAAAACGAUCAAGGUUAACAAACAGUUCACAUCCUUAGCUUGGCAGUGUUAUGCCAACAUUUUACAUAUAGGAGAGAUGAAUUUUUCUCAUUUCUGUGUUGACAUAAAUUAUCAUUGAUAUGGUAAUAAUUAUAAAUUAACUGUUUACAAAACUUGUUUUUAAAAUGUUAAGAAUUUCCUACCCCAGGAAUAGAUUACCAU